rnacentral:pre_miRNA from 1 species
AACCUAUUGUAUCCGUGCUGAGGUUUCGUCACACAUCACAUCACGAGGGCUGAUGAGACUCACAAGAUAUGUGAAGCG